rnacentral:lncRNA from 10 species
GAGAGGUGGAGAAAGUGGAGAGGUCUCUACCAACAUCAAAGUCAUUAGAUCACGUUGUCAAUUCAGCUAAUAGCCCAUUGGUUCAAUUUCCUUUUGUAAACUUGGAUUUGAUAGCCAGUAUCUAAUACAAUGACUGGUACCAAGUAAUGUGCUUCGAAAAUAUUUGUUAAAUGAAUUAAUGAGUGAAUGGAACUAUGAAGGAAUGCAAAACAAAUGGAUGAUGGGAAUCUUGUAGGUAAGGGAGUAAAU